GUGUCAGCCGCCGCGGUAAUACGGGGGGAGCAAACGUUGUUCGGAAUCACUGGGCGUAAAGGGCGCGUAGGCGGCCUCGUAAGUGGUGUGUGAAAUCUCCUGGCUCAACCAGGGAAUUGCGCUCCAAACUGCGAGGCUCGAGGGCAGUAGAGGAAGCUGGAAUUCCAGGUGUAGCGGUGAAAUGCGUAGAUAUCUGGAGGAACACCGUUGGCGAAGGCGAGCUUCUGGGCUGUUCCUGACGCUGAAGUGCGAAAGCUGGGGGAGCAAACAGGAUUAGAUACCCUCGUAGUCC
rnacentral:rRNA from 1 species